CGUGGAGACAGGUGGUGCAUGGCUGUCGUCAGCUCGUGUCGUGAGAUGUUGGGUUAAGUCCCGCAACGAGCGCAACCCUUACCCCUUGUUGCCAUCAGGUCAUGCUGGGCACUCUAGGGGAACUGCCCCGGUCAACGGGGAGGAAGGUGGGGACGACGUCAAGUCACCAUGCCCCUUACGUCCUGGGCUACACACGUGCUACAAUGGCCGGUACAAAGGGAUGCAAAAUCGCGAGGUGGAGCCAAACCCGGAAAGCCGGUCUAAGUUCAGAUUGGAGUCUGCAACUCGACUCCAUGAAGGAGGAAUCGCUAGUAAUCGCGCAUCAGCACGGCGCGGUGAAUACGUUCCCGGGCCUUGUACACACCGCCCGUCACACCACGAAAGCCAGCUGUACUCGAAGUCGCUGAG
rnacentral:rRNA from 1 species